rnacentral:ncRNA from 1 species
GGUAAGUAUAUAAAGAAACUAUUACGGAUAAAUACAGCUAUAUAUUAAAGACGUAUAAGAUAAAGUGUUCUUGGAAAAAUCCAUUUUUUAAACGAAGCGAAUUGAAAUAUCUUAGUAGCUUCAGGAAUAAAAAUCAAAUGAGAUUCCAUAAUUAGCUAUAACUGUUAUGGAAAAGCCUUUUAAGUAAAACGGAAAUAAUCUGUUUGAAUCUAGGGAAACCUUUCUCUAAGGCUAAAUAUGAUAUAUAAGCGAUAGCGAAGCAGUACCGUGAGGGAAAUUUUUGAAAUAGUAGUUUUAUAAGCAGCUCAAGUUUAAUUUAAAAGUAUAAUGAGAGCGUACCUUUUGCAUAAUGGGUCAGCAAGUUAAUGUUAGAUGCGAGACGGGUUCACAAAAGAUUAAGUGGUCAAACUUACUUACUUUUACUUUGACGCUAAAAAGAAGAGUUUUAGCCGCUUUUUGGAUUAUAAGAUAAAAGUAAACUGAGAAUGAUUACCUAAAUGAGUAAGGUAAUAUAAGAUAAUUAUUGCCUGAAAUAAGGAAUAUUAUCACCUUGUCCUAGAUAAACCAAUUAUUAAUUAAUGAUUAAGUAUCUAAUGUUAGACCCGAAGCCUAGUGAUCUUACCAUGAUCAGGGUUAUAAAGGCCCGAACGGGUUAUCGUUGUAAAGAUAUCCGAUGAAUUGUGGUAAGUUAGUGAAAGACAAAACUGACUAGGAUAGCUGGUUUUCUGCGAAACCUAUAUAAGUAGGUAAUGUAAAUAACAUCAUAGCAGGUACAGAACUGUGAUCUCGGACAAGUUGCUUUCUUAACGAUAGCAACAUGGUUUUGUAUACAUCGGGGAAUCGUGAAGAUUUUAUCGGCGAGAAUUUGC